CGGGGAGUAGCUUAACCAAAAGCUCUUAAUUUACAAUUAAACGAUGCUCACAUAUGAGGGCCCCCCCGA
rnacentral:tRNA from 1 species